UUUUAUGAGAGUUUGAUCCUGGCUCAGGAUGAACGCUGGCGGCGUGGAUAAGGCAUGCAAGUCGAACGAGGUUGGCGAGAGAUUACAUCAAUUGCCGGCCUAGUGGCAAACGAGUUAGUAACACGUGGGUAUCUACCUUCAACACGGGUAUAACCCGCCGAAAGGCGGACUAAUUCCCGAUGGUCUAAAUGUUGACGUGAUGGAUUUGAUGGCGAGAAUUUAUUUUCGUUGUCUGUCCGGAUUGUUGGUGUUUAGUAAAGGCCGAAAGGCGGUUGAAGAGGAGCCCGCGGCCUAUCAGCUAGUUGGUAGGGUAAUGGCCUACCAAGGCAACGACGGGUAGGGGGGGUGAGAGCCCGUUCCCCAACGACGGCACUGAGACACGGGCCGUACUCCUACGGGAGGCAGCAGUCGAGAAUAUUCGACAAUGGGCGAAAGCCUGAUCGAGCGACGCCGCGUGAAGGAAGAAGCCCUUCGGGGUGUAAACUUCUUUUGCGGGGGAUGAAACCGUGCAGCAAUGCGCGAUUGACCGUACCCCGCGAAUAAGGGGCUGCAAACUUCGUGCCAGCAGCCGCGGUAAUACGAAGGCCCCAAGCGUUAUCCGGAUUUAUUGGGCGUAAAGCGUCCGCAGGUGGUUUUAAUAGUCAGGUGUUAAAUCCUCAAGCUUAACUUGAGGCCUGCACCCGAAACGUUAAAACUAGAGGGCAGGAGAGGCUGAUGGAACAUACGGUGUAGGGGUGAAAUCCGUUGAUAUCGUAUGGAACACCAAAGGCGAAGGCAUUCAGCUGGCCUGUCUCUGACACUCAGGGACGAAAGCGUGGGUAGCGAAUGGGAUUAGAUACCCCAGUAGUCCACGCCGUAAACGAUGCCGACUAGCCGUUUGAAGUAUCGACCCUUCAAGUGGCGAAGCUAACGCGUUAAGUCGGCCGCCUGGGAAGUACGAGCGCAAGCUUAAAACUCAAAGGAAUAGACGGGGACUCGCACAAGCGGUGGAGCAUGUGGUUUAAUUCGACGAUAACCGAAGAACCUUACCAGGGCUUGAAACUCCGAUGAAAUCCCGAUGAAAGUCGGGCCCUCGCAAGACAUCGGAGCAGGUACUGCAUGGCUGUCGUCAGCUCGUGCCUUGAGGUGUUCCGUUAAGUCGGGAAACGAGCGCAACCCCUAUUGUCUGUUACAAGUGUCAGACGAAACUGCCUCUUUCAAAGGGGAGGAAGGUGGGGAUGACGUCAAGUCAGCAUGGUCCUUUGAUGCCCUGGGCUACACACGUGCUACAAUGGGGAGUACAAUGGGUUGCCAAGCCGUAAGGCGGAGCUAAUCCCAUCAAAACUCCUCCCAGUUCAGAUUGAGGUCUGAAAUUCGACCUCAUGAAGGCGGAAUCGCUAGUAAUCGCGGAUCAGCUAUGCCGCGGUGAAUACGUUCUCGAGUCUUGUACUCACCGCCCGUCACGUCAAGGGAGCCGGGAGUACCCAAAGUUCCAUCUAGGUGGGAUCAAGGUAAGCUCGGUGACAGGGACGAAGUCGUAACAAGGCACCGGUAGCGGAAGCUGUCGGUGGAUCACCUCCUUU
rfam:Parcubacteria (Azambacteria) bacterium GW2011_GWC1_46_13 TX33_C0026, whole genome shotgun sequence.